GCGGUGGAGCAUGUGGUUAAUUCGAAGCAACGCGAAGAACCUUACCAGGCCUUGACAUCCCUGACAACCAAGAGAUUGGGCGUUCCCCUUCGGGGGACAGGGUGACAGGUGGUGCAUGGUUGUCGUCAGCUCGUGUCGUGAGAUGUUGGGUUAAGUCCCGCAACGAGCGCAACCCUCGCCUCUAGUUGCCAGCAUUCGGUUGGGCACUCUAGAGGGACUGCCGGCGACAAGUCGGAGGAAGUGGGAUGACGUCAAAUCAUCAUGCCCCUUAUGACCUGGGCUACACACGUGCUACAAUGGGCGGUACAAAGGGCUGCGAACCCGCGAGGGGGAGCGAAUCCCAAAAAGCCGCUCUCAGUUCGGAUUGCAGGCUGCAACUCGCCUGCAUGAAGCCGGAAUCGCUAGUAAUCGCGGAUCAGCAUGCCGCGGUGAAUACGUUCCCGGGCCUU
rnacentral:rRNA from 1 species